rnacentral:rRNA from 1 species
CUCGUAGGCGGCCAACUAAGUCAGACGUGAAAUCCCUCGGCUUAACCGGGGAACUGCGUCUGAUACUGGAUGGCUUGAGUGUGGGAGAGGGAUGCGGAAUUCCAGGUGUAGCGGUGAAAUGCGUAGAUAUCUGGAGGAACACCGGUGGCGAAGGCGGCAUCCUGGACCAUUACUGACGCUGAGUGAGCGAAAGCCAGGGGAGCAAACG